CAUAGCGACUAUCGUGGCAUAUCAAUAAGCGGAGGAAAAGAAACUAACAAGGAUUCCCUUAGUAACGGCGAGUGAAGCGGGAAGAGCUCAAAUUUGAAAUCUUCAAGGUUCUACCUUGACGAAUUGUAGUUUAUAGAAGUGUUUUCUGUUAGUGGAGUGGCAAAAGUUCUUUGGAAUAGGACAUCAUAGAGGGUGAGAAUCCCGUAUUUGGUCAUUCCUCCUAGCGUUGUGAUACACUUUCAACGAGUCGGAUUGUUUGGGAAUGCAGUCCAAAAUGGGUGGUAAAUUUCAUCUAAAGCUAAAUAUUGGCGAGAGACCGAUAGCGAACAAGUACCGUGAGGGAAAGAUGAAAAGAACUUUGAAAAGAGAGUUAAACAGUACGUGAAAUUGUCAAAAGGGAAGCGUUUGACACCAGUGUUGUUUUUCCGAAAAUCAAUUACGAAUGUUUUGUUUUUGAGGAGUUAUGACUUCAUCGGCUUGCUUCCUUUCUUUACUGAAACUUUCUUAAUGCACUUUUCGGUUAACAAGUCAACAUCAAUUUCUUUUGUUGUAAAAGGGUAUGAGGAAGGUGGCUUUCUUUUCGGAGAAAGUGUUUAUAGCCUUGUGCCUCUGCAAUCGGAGAGGAUUGAGGUCUGCAGCGUAGAUCCUUCGGGGUUAGAUACAGUUUGUGCUAAGUUAUAGCUUUCUCAUAGACAACUUGUUGACUAUGUUUAGUCUUGUAGCUUACUCGCUGACUGCUAUUUUACCUACGCUUAGGAUGUUGAAGAUAUGCGCGACACG
rnacentral:rRNA from 1 species